rnacentral:rRNA from 1 species
UACGAGAGGCGCAAACGUUAUUCGGAAUUACUGGGCUUAAAGAGUUCGUAGGCGGCGCAGAAAGUAGGGUGUGAAAGCCCUCGGCUUAACCGAGGAAUUGCGCUCUAAACUACUGUGCUUGAGGGACCUAGAGGUGAGCGGAACUGAUGGUGGAGCGGUGAAAUGCGUUGAUAUCAUCAGGAACACCGGAGGCGAAGGCGGCUCACUGGCCCGGUACUGACGCUGAGGUGCGAAAGCGUGGGGAGCAAACAGG